rnacentral:tRNA from 1 species
AGAGCAAUAUCUCAAUGUUAGAGCACAGGAUUUGUAUGCCUGAGGACCCAGGUUCAAUCUCUGGCACCUUUA